GGGGCGCUAGCUCAUCCGGUAGAGCAACUGGCUUUUAACCAGUAGGUGCGGGGUUCGAGUCCCCGGCGCCUCACCA
rnacentral:tRNA from 1 species